AUGAUUGUGCCAUUGCACUCCAGCCUGGGCAACAGAGCAAGACCCUUCCUCUAAAUAAUGAUAAUAGUAGUUGUCAUAAUUAAUAUACAUCAGAGGUAUGCUAGUCCAAUUAUAAUUUGAAAUAAAAUGAAUUUCUGCUUCCGGAGCACCAGUAUUUCCACAAAGUUGGUUUUAGUGCUUUCAUUGCUCAUGAAAUCAUCUUAGGGAUUUUUGAUGGACAGAUGAAUGGAUAGAUUACUGACAAAGCAUUGAACGUCUGAAAGGUACAUUGGCACUGGACAUGUCAUCCAAUUUUAUUCUGAAGAUAACAGAAAUGAAAGGGUUACUGCCUAGUUUCUUUAAAAAACAAACAAAAAAAAAACUUAAUUAAGAGUAUAAUAGAAAAACAGGACAACUGGGACCUAGUUCGUCUAGCCCUGAAAUUGUCAGAGAAACUGAAAAAAAUGUAACUUCUCUCAUGAAAAGAAGACAAAGAAAUACAUUUAAAUAUAAAAUGUUAAGCUAUACUGAAGCUAUAGUUUCAUGUUUUUCAAUCUAUAAAAUCUAUGAAGUAUUAACUGAAUUUUAAUUAACCUAAUAAUUUGUGGCAAAAUUAUCUGAUUUACCGACUAAAACAAAUAAAUGUACUUCAAAAUUGUAUUAGAUUAGUGAAACUUGAUAAUAUCUCUGUUUUCUACAUUUAUUUUUCACAAAAUGAAAGCAUAAUGCCAACCUGUAGCCAGAGGAAGUGUUUGUAUAUUCUAAAACAAUAUUAGAAAAAUAUAUGAUUGCUGUGAAAUUCAUAAUGCUAAAUGUCAUUAAGAUGAAUAAAAGUAUCAUAAUACAGUACUCUGUCAACAAUAAAGUAAAACUCCAGAAAGCUCUAUGAUGUUAGAUAAAGAGGGCCAUGAUGAAAACAGUACAUAUAAUCCUUUUGUUUUCUUUAUCCAACCGGAAGCUUUUCUGUGGCCACCUUUGGAACAGCGGUAUUAGCACUGCAUAACCAACUCAUAGCGAAUAAUGUUAAACUAACAAAUGCAUUUCAACAGCUUCAUUUAUAGAUAAGAGGGCCUCCAAAGACAGGCAAGCAAAUUGACUAAGCUCUUUAAAAAAUGGUUUAUUGCCCUAGAACACAAUUGGGAAAAACUCAAAUUGCACAUUAUAGAAUUGCGUAUUUUAAAACAUUUCUAUUAGCUGUUAUUUUUGUGUAUUCUUUAGUAUCAAUUUACACGUAUCACAAUAUGUAUAAAUAUAUGUGCUUAUACAUUUGCAUGUAUACAUGUGCAUGUAUAUGGAGUAAUCAGUGAAGUUCACUGCCUUGAAAUACAUACAGAUGGAAACGUACAGAUGUUGGGAAACGAAGACUACUCUCCGCACCUAAUUUUCCUAUAAAGGGCCAACAAUUCCUAGGAGAACAGAUUUAUUUCAUUGGCGAGAUUGAAAAAAGAAAAGGAACAAUUUGUUUCCCAUUUUAAUGUAAUCGUCUACACGGCACAUGCUUUCUCUGCUUCUCCUGAGGAAAGCUUACAGAGUAGGCUCUGUCCCAACUGCAGUUGUGUGUGGCCACCCAGUGUCUCCAUAAUAAAAUAAAUACGAGAGUCUACAAAAUUGAGGCAUUUUCUCCAAUCAAGUACUUCGGACAAUACAGGUUCCCAUAUGCUUUUGCAGAGCCAGCUCUCAUUUGCAGUAACUGUGUGUGUGUAUAUAUAUAUUUAGUAGGCUAUCUUAUAUGCAUAUGUGUGUGUGUACAUAGUUUUAGCAGGCUACCUAACAUGUAGUUAUAGAUAUGUUGUGUUUUACAGUCAAGCUUUUUUUCAAUGAUAAAGAUAAUUUUAUUCCCAAGUA